UACGUAGGGUGCAAGCGUUGUCCGGAAUUAUUGGGCGUAAAGAGCUCGUAGGCGGUCAGUCGCGUCUGCUGUGAAAACUCGGGGCUUAACUCCGGCCUGCAGUGGAUACGGGCAGACUAGAGUCAGGUAGGGGAGAACGGAAUUCCUGGUGUAGCGGUGAAAUGCGCAGAUAUCAGGAGGAACACCGGUGGCGAAGGCGGUUCUCUGGGCCUGUACUGACGCUGAGGAACGAAAGCGUGGGGAGCGAACAGG
rnacentral:rRNA from 1 species